ACGGAAGGCAGCAGCUAAGAAUAUUCCGCAAUGGACGAAAGUCUGACGGAGCGACGCCGCGUGGAUGAUGAAGGUCGGAAGAUUGUAAAAUCCUUUUGAGUGUGAAGAAUAAGUGCAUCAGGGAAUGGGUGCAUGGUGACGGUAGCACUUGAAUAAGCAACGGCUAAUUACGUGCCAGCAGCCGCGGUAACACGUAAGUUGCGAGCGUUGUUCGGAAUUAUUGGGCGUAAAGGGCAUGUAGGCGGUUCUGCAAGCUUGGUGUGAAAGGCGGGAGCUUAACUCCCGGACUGCGUUGAGAACUGCAUAACUAGAGUGACUGAGGGGCAGGCAGAAUUCCAGGUGUAGGGGUGAAAUCUGUAGAUAUCUGGAAGAAUACCAAUGGCGAAGGCAGCCUGCCAGCAGAUGACUGACGCUGAGGUGCGAAGGUGCGGGGAGCAAACAGGAUUAGAUACCCUGGUA
rnacentral:rRNA from 1 species